rnacentral:rRNA from 1 species
AUACGGAGGCUGCAAGCGUUAUCCGGAUUUAUUGGGUUUAAAGGGUGCGUAGGCUGUUCGGAAAGUCAGGGGUGAAAGCCCGGCGCCUAACGCCGGAACUGCCUUUGAUACUUCCGAGCUGGAAUACGGAUGCCGUGGGAGGAAUGAGUAGUGUAGCGGUGAAAUGCAUAGAUAUUACUCAGAACACCGAUUGCGAAGGCAUCUCACGAAUCCGUCAUUGACGCUGAGGCACGAAAGCGUGGGGAUCAAACAGGAUUAGAUACCCUGGUAGUCCACGCAGUAAACGAUGAUGACUAACCGUCGGCGAUACACAGUCGGUGGCCAAGCGAAAGCGAUAAGUCAUCCACCUGGGGAGUACGUUCGCAAGAAUGAAACUCAAAGGAAUUGACGGGG